rnacentral:RNase_P_RNA from 1 species
AUGGCCGGAGGGUCUGUCGCGCACUAUACCUGUAAAUAGUGUGAGGAAAGUCCGGGCAACGCAGAGCACCAUAUUCUCUAACGGAGAGCUAUCGGUAACGGUAGAGUUCAAUGUGACAGAAAAUAACCGCCGCCUUCGGGCGGCAAGGGUGAAAAGGUGAGGUAAGAGCUCACCGGGCGCCACAGCAAUAUGGCGUGCCGCACAACUUAUGGGUUGCAAGGUCAAGUAUACCGGCAUUUAAGGGCUGCUCGUCCAUUGUCGGGGGGUAGACUGCUCAGAUAAAUGACAGACGGACGGUUGCAUCCCGCCUCCGCGGCGGAAGUACACCGACCACAUAACCCGGCUUAUACUCCGACCAUACGU